AGGACGAACGCUGGCGGCGUGCUUAACACGUGCAAGUCGAGCGGUAAGGCCUUUCGGGGUACACGAGCGGCGAACGGGUGAGUAACACGUGGGUGAUCUGCCCUGCACUCUGGGAUAAGCCUGGGAAACUGGGUCUAAUACCGGAUAUGACCUGCUCUCGCAGUGGGGGGUGGGUGGAAAGUAUUUAUCGGUGCGAGGAUCGGGGCCCGCGGCCUAUCAGU
rnacentral:rRNA from 1 species